CAGCCGCCACGGUAAUACGAAGGGUGCAAGCGUUAAUCGGAAUUACUGGGCGUAAAGCGUGCGCAGGCGGUUAUAUAGGUCAGAUGUGAAAUCCCCGGGCUCAACCUGGGAACUGCAUUUGAGACUGUAUGGCUAUAGUGUGUCAGAGGGGGGUAGAAUUCCACGUGUAGCAGUGAAAUGCGUAGAUAUGUGGAGGAAUACCGAUGGCGAUGGCAGCCCCCUGGGAUAACACUGACGCUCAUGCACGAAAGCGUGGGGAGCAAACAGGAUUAGAUACCCCUGUAGUCCCUGUCUCUUAUAC
rnacentral:rRNA from 1 species